UUUGCCAGUACCGCAAGUACGCACGGAAGCACGCACGGGACGAACGAGGCUCCUUCGUCGCCGGAGAUUCCCAUUCAAGCAGCAGAUUUAUUUAGAUGCUGGUGCUUAGACUGCACUCCGGAACGCCCGGGUGGAUUUCUGUGCUGCCGAAGCGUCGUGAUUAUUUGCCGAAUCUGUGAUGAAAACAACCUUGAUUGCAUUGCUCAGCAUCAUAUGUUUCCACUAUUGUGCCUUCGCCGCCAACUUCUCUCCGUUUUUGUACGACACAUGAGGCACUACAUCCCCACCCAACUAGAGUAACACGGAGACGGGAACAGCAUAUGCCAUGUUCGUAUGGGGCCACCUUGGUCCUGGACAUCCCAGGCAAAUACCCGGCUGCUGCGUAUCAUCUAUUCGCAGAGUAUUUCCGUCAUCAGUCCAUCACGGAUUUCUAGGUUUCUUAUGAACAAGUGGCUGGCUGUUCCACUGGUUCCUGUGGCCAUUCUCACAAGUAAUUGCAGCUCUUGCAAGCGUUCCCAUUGUUGUGAGACGCACGUUUGUGAGUGAUGAUGACCUCCCGGUGCCCACUUUUAGGAGUUCUAUAAGGCUGGAGCGUACCAGGAUGGACAUGUCGGGCACCGACGAAGGCUGCGCUAUGGACAUGAUAAUGAAGUAGACAGCGAAGGUAAAGAGCAUCCUCCCACAAUGUAUCGUAAUACUUAGCCAUCACCAUCCAACUCAUCAACAAGAUGCCGCGUAUCUACCACAUCUGUUGGCCUGUUUGGGAUGCAAUAAACCAAGGGUUGGUGGCAGAAGGUUAGAACCGACAAUAUCGGCUUUGUCAUCAUGCCCUGGUGAUGAAACUAACAAGGAAAAAGGUGGAGGCUCCACAGCAGGUGUUGAUGAUCUAGGGAGAGCUUGGCUCAGGAACUUCCACUAUCACCAAACGGGGUGGAUCCUCUGAAGGCACUGUCUGAGUGGUUGCAUCUUGUGCGGGUGGUCUCCAUUGUGUGACUGUGGGCUUUCCUCCAAACGUCUCUCAUCUGUGUGUGUUGCUGCAUUUUUCAUUGCAUGCCGAGGCCCUAUGAAUGUGGACGAAAUUGGAGUGAGCCACUUACAUUUGUAAAGCGAGUGACUAGUUUGACUGUGUGCAAAAUACGUUUUUUCAGGACCAUAAUGACUUGGUAUGUUCCACUUACACAAACACCGAGAUAUAGUUACAUCAUCAAUGGCUUUUAACCAAACUGAUGUUUGUGGUAAAAAUUUGUAAACAUGCAAGGGUGAAAUAAACAACUAGUUUGCAUCUGA